rnacentral:rRNA from 5 species
UGGUGAGUAUAGCUAUGGGGGUACACCUAGUUACAUUCCGAACCUAGAAGUUAAGCCCAUAUACGCUGAUGGUACUUGGCUGGAAGCGGCCUGGGAGAGUAUGGAUUUGCCAAGCU